CCGGCGACCGGCGGACGGGUGCGUAACGCGUAUGUAACCUACCUUUGACAGGGGGAUAACAUCGAGAAAUUGGUACUAAUACCCCAUAACAUCACAGGAGGCAUCUUCGGUGGUUGAAAACUCAGGUGGUCAGAGAUGGACAUGCGUUGUAUUAGCUAGUUGGUGAGGUAACGGCUCACCAAGGCGACGAUACAUAGGGGGACUGAGAGGUCAACCCCCCACAUUGGUACUGAGACACGGACCAAACUCCUACGGAAGGCAGCAG
rnacentral:rRNA from 1 species